rnacentral:lncRNA from 1 species
GUUGUGUGUUGAGUGUGGAAAAUAAAAUAUUAAAAGUUCGGCCGUCCCUAGCGCAAGUGGGAAAGGACUUGGUAGUUGGUAUUCGAAAUUCAAGUUCAAAUUCUAAUUGAUUCACAUUUCCAGCUAAAUUUAUUUCUAAAUAAAAUAAACGAAGCGGAUAGCGUGUUACCUAUCUCUCUCAAAAAAAAAAAAUAUCGUUCUCCGAAAGCUUACAUUUUUUAAAAAUAAAAAAAUUUGAAUUUUUGAAUCUUCUCGAGUUUUUGGUCUCUAUAUAAUUUAAGUUCACAUAUUAGACCUAUACAAAAUAUAUUAAACCUGGAUGAUUUGUAGCAUGUGUUUUUUUCGUGUGAUUUGAGAUCUUACAACGUGCACAAAUCAUUCAAAUUUCU